rnacentral:vault_RNA from 1 species
GCGCUGGUGUAGCUCAGUGGUUACUCUUCUAAAAUUUCUCUACAGAAUGUUCUGUACCCUGCAAGGGGUCGAACCACGGGGCUGUCCAGUGUUUUG